GUGAUCUGCCCGUCUUGGCCUCCCGUAGUGCUGGGAUUACAGGCGUGAGCCACUGCGCCUGGCCCAAAUGUUAUAUCUCACAUCUCUUAGGGAGAAUGGAAAUCUCUUUAAGACUAAGGUCUACUUUGUUAAGUUAGAGUAAUGUGAGUUUAAUUGCAUCACAAAUAUUGUUAGCACUUAUUAUUCAAGUUUGUUCCUGAAUUAUAACAGGACACUGAUUUAUCCCAAAUUCCCAACUGGGAAUGAAGAACAAAGACAAGUCCCUGCAGUGGUUUCUCCACUGAGCCCAAAAAACCACAUCUGAUAAGCUAUGUAAUUUGCUAUAGCAAUUUGUGCCAAAAAUAAAGGCACACUUUUGCAGAGUCGCACAUUUCUAAGAAAAACUGAACUCCACCCCAUGCUAAUCCAGCUCCUUUCUUUCUUUUUCAAACUUGAUGUUUAUGGAUAGAAAAUACCAGGCUGCAUCUUAGGUCCCAUACCAUUGACGCCCCUUGGCCAAAUGGCUAGGUCCAUUGGCCUCUAGUCACCCCAAAUCUCUCUUGCAGUCACUCUGUAACCCGAAGGGUGAGUGUAGGCAACAACAGUGGCCAGUUUUACGACACCCCAAUAAUAUGAUGUCUUUAAUAGCACAGCAGAUUCUUGGCUGAUGGCCCUGGUUAAAGGAAGGAGGCACAGAAUCUUCGAAGUCAUCAAUUUUAAUGAGCACUGCAACUAUUCCAGUAAACUAGAUCCCUUUAUUUUUGUUUGCUUGACAAAGAAACUUGAUAUGUCUAAGACAUUUAUUUCUUUUUAGUUCAACACCAGGACAGGAACUUGCUUUUUCACCACCAGUAUUAGGCCCCCAAUGGUGCUAAAAAUUACUGUGCAGUCUUUUGGAAGGGGAAGAAGAAAAGAGGCUACAAGAAAAAGAAAAACAAAAGAACAAAACCAAACAAACACAAACUUUUGAAAAAUUCAGGCUUUCUUUGGCUCAGAGGUUAAACAUGAAUUGUUAGCGUUCCCUUUCAAAGUUGGAGUUUGCCAAGGAAUCUCAUAAGCUUGCAUGGUUUUGUGGAAGUUACAAGAGAAAUAAGAAAUUUCAUCUGCAUUUUCAAAGGCCAGGAAUACUCAGUUGUGUGUGCGUGUGUGUCUGUAUCUGUGCCUGUGUAUGAGACAGUGAGAGAGAGAGAGAGAGAGACCGAUAGACAGAUAAAUACAGCCAGAAGCCAAGGAAAUUUCAACUACUUUAUUUACAACAUAAUGAAUUGAAAUCUUUGGAAGGACUAUUUCUGAGCUCUAUGAGAAGGACACGUUAAAGGUAGCAAGUAAUUUCUGUGGUUUGUAGUGAGAUAACAAAGAGGUAAGUUGCUUGAGAUGCUUGCAUAUUAGAGAAAACAACCCAGCCUUUGCUUCUAAUCUUUUCCAUCUUUGUGCAAACUCAGUGAACUCUUAUUCCACAACUGAAGGCAACAGGCAGGCAUUUGUUUUAACUCCUUAAGUAAACUCAAGUUCUAGAAUCAUUAAAGUCGAAAGUCCUUGUACAAAUCACUAAAUACUUUCCUUAUUAUAAGGAAUUCAUAGCACAGGGCAAACUGUGUCAUCUCUUAUGAAUUUUUCAAUCAAAAUAAAUUUCUCCUUCUUUUUCUGUUAAAACAUUCUUUUAAUGGAAGAAGGGGGGGAAAAGCAGCCCAGAAAAAAUUACGCAAAUGGCAAGGUAGUGACAAGGCAUCUAUCAAAGUGGCUCUGGAAAUUCCAAUUUUUAAAGUGCUAUAAAAAUAUCAUUAUUAAUGAUGAUUGACUGGGUUUUCAGAGCCAAGAUAUUUCAAGGCUGCUAAGUUAGAGUUGAGUGCAAAAGCGGGGGUGCUAAAAUGGCUUCAGGGUUCCUUCACUUUGUUUCUUCAUUGAUUUUUAAGUAACAUGUGAACACAGUCAAAUUGAUGAUUUUCAUUUUGAAUUAGUUUGCCCUCUGUCAUGCAGAGCCUUCCAUCUUUUCCUGACUGUCAGUGCCUAAUUCAUCUUCAUCAAGUCCCCAGCAGGAAGAUUCAGAUCUUAUAUUACUCUUUGUUUUACAGUUUUAUUGUUUACAGGAAAUUGGGACACAGAGAAAAAUAGAGAGGAAUCUACCCAAGCUUUAAGUAGAACUACUCAAGGGGAGAAGGUACAACUCCACUUCUGGGCCUGGAGAUUCCUGAAAGAUAUUCGGUCUUGGUCUGUGUAAAUCUCAUACUUUGUACCUGAUGCCUUCAUGAACCUAGAAGUGCUCUCCCUUUUACAGAGGAGAAACUAAGGCUAAAGAAAAGCAUGUACGGAAUAAGCAAUAACCAUAUUAGAUUUCAGUAUGAUCAACUGUUACCGUAAAAAUCUUGUAUUUUGCUCUAUUUUCAGUCACUGUGAAGGCUGGGAAAAAUGACAAGUAUGGUUUUUUAAAGUGUAAUGAAAAUGUGCUUGAAAACAUCACAAAAAUAUUGUUUAGGUGAGGCCCAAGGCCCAAGUUAGAGGACUUCUUUAAGGACACAGAGGGAAAAAGAAAAAAUGUCAACACCAACAAAACCUAUCAUUUGCUGAGCAAAAAUCUCCUUCCUACCCCCUGAAGCGCCUUAACUCUCCACCUUCUGUUUCUAACAGUUAGAGCUGCUGCAGCUUCUGAAGAUUCAUUCUUGCAGUCCUAUGGGAAGUCACCAGUUUGUUCUUUCAACAGUGUGCCAAAAGUGGAAAAAGGAAGAGUUUAAGCAACUGUCAACCAGGAAACUUUCUGUUUGUUUAUUUUUAAAAAAGAAGACUUAUCAAGCUAGCCAAGAAAUUUUGUUGAAGUUACAGGCUGUCAUUCUUUAUAAUCGCUCUACUUUCUUUUUCUUUCUGAAUCCUGCAUUUCCAUGGAGGAUAGAUAAUCUUGGGCAUUAUCCUCAUUGGCUCGGCUUAGCUCUGUCCCUUGGGGUCCUGCUGACUCUAUAAACUUUCAACUCCUAAAUCCAAUGCUGGCUCACCCAGGAAAGAAAAAAGCAAACUGAACAAUAAAAUUCAAGCUGUAGCUUCCGUUGUGACUCAAGAAUAAAAAAUGUUAAUGGCCAACAGCA
rnacentral:lncRNA from 1 species